rnacentral:rRNA from 1 species
AACGUAGGAGGCGAGCGUUAUCCGGAUUUACUGGGUGUAAAGCGCGUGCAGGCGGUUUAGCAAGUCGUGCGUGAAAGCGCUCUGGCUCAACCGGGCGAGGACGUGCGGAACUGCUGAACUAGAGGCAGGUAGAGGCGUGUGGAAUUCCGGGUGUAGUGGUGAAAUGCGUAGAGAUCCGGAGGAACACCAGUGGCGAAGGCGACGCGCUGGGCCUGACCUGACGCUAAGACGCGAGAGCAUGGGGAGCGAACGGGAUUAGAAACCCCAGUAGUCC